AGCGAACGCUGGCGGCAGGCUUAACACAUGCAAGUCGAGCGCCGUAGCAAUACGGAGCGGCAGACGGGUGAGUAACGCGUGGGAACGUACCUUCUGGUUCGGAAUAACUCAGGGAAACUUGAGCUAAUACCGGAUAAGCCCUUCGGGGGAAAGAUUUAUCGCCGGAAGAUCGGCCCGCGUAAGAUUAGCUAGUUGGUGAGGUAAUGGCUCACCAAGGCUACGAUCUUUAGCUGGUCUGAGAGGAUGAUCAGCCACAUUGGGACUGAGACACGGCCCAAACUCCUACGGGAGGCAGCAGUGGGGAAUAUUGGACAAUGGGCGCAAGCCUGAUCCAGCCAUGCCGCGUGAGUGAUGAAGGCCUUAGGGUUGUAAAGCUCUUUAC
rnacentral:rRNA from 1 species